UCCGUAGGUGAACCUGCGGAAGGAUCAUUAGUGAAUAUAGGACGUCCAACUUAACUUGGAGUCCGAACUCUCACUUUCUAACCCUGUGCACUUGUUUGGGAUAGUAACUCUCGCAAGAGAGCGAACUCCUAUUCACUUAUAAACACAAAGUCUAUGAAUGUAUUAAAUUUUAUAACAAAAUAAAACUUUCAACAACGGAUCUCUUGGCUCUCGCAUCGAUGAAGAACGCAGCGAAAUGCGAUAAGUAAUGUGAAUUGCAGAAUUCAGUGAAUCAUCGAAUCUUUGAACGCACCUUGCGCUCCAUGGUAUUCCGUGGAGCAUGCCUGUUUGAGUGUCAUGAAUACUUCAACCCUCCUCUUUCUUAAUGAUUGAAGAGGUGUUUGGUUUCUGAGCGCUGCUGGCCUUUACGGUCUAGCUCGUUCGUAAUGCAUUAGCAUCCGCAAUCGAACUUCGGAUUGACUUGGCGUAAUAGACUAUUCGCUGAGGAAUUCUAGUCUUCGGAUUAGAGCCGGGUUGGGUUAAAGGAAGCUUCUAAUCAGAAUGUCUACAUUUUAAGAUUAGAUCUCAAAUCAGGUAGGACUACCCGCUGAACUUAAGCAUAUCAAUAAGCGGAGGA
rnacentral:rRNA from 1 species